CACAUGCAAGUCGAGCGGCAGCACGGGGAGCUUGCUCCCUGGUGGCGAGCGGCGGACGGGUGAGUAAUGCAUAGGAAUCUGCCCGGUAGUGGGGGAUAACCUGGGGAAACCCAGGCUAAUACCGCAUACGUCCUACGGGAGAAAGCAGGGGACCUUCGGGCCUUGCGCUAUCGGAUGAGCCUAUGUCGGAUUAGCUGGUUGGUGAGGUAAUGGCUCACCAAGGCGACRAUCCGUAGCUGGUCUGAGAGGAUGAUCAGCCACAUCGGGACUGAGACACGGCCCGAACUCCUACGGGAGGCAGCAGUGGGGAAUAUUGGACAAUGGGCGCAAGCCUGAUCCAGCCAUGCCGCGUGUGUGAAGAAGGCCCUCGGGUUGUAAAGCACUUUCAGUGGGGAARAAAGCCUUCCGGUUAAUACCCGGGAGGAGGGACAUCACCCACAGAAGAAGCACCGGCUAACUCCGUGCCAGCAGCCGCGGUAAUACGGAGGGUGCGAGCGUUAAUCGGAAUUACUGGGCGUAAAGCGCGCGUAGGCGGCUUGAUAAGCCGGUUGUGAAAGCCCCGGGCUCAACCUGGGAACGGCAUCCGGAACUGUCAGGCUAGAGUGCAGGAGAGGAAGGUAGAAUUCCCGGUGUAGCGGUGAAAUGCGUAGAGAUCGGGAGGAAUACCAGUGGCGAAGGCGGCCUUCUGGACUGACACUGACGCUGAGGUGCGAAAGCGUGGGUAGCAAACAGGAUUAGAUACCCUGGUAGUCCACGCCGUAAACGAUGUCGACUAGCCGUUGGGUCCUUCGCGGACUUUGUGGCGCAGUUAACGCGAUAAGUCGACCGCCUGGGGAGUACGGCCGCAAGGUUAAAACUCAAAUGAAUUGACGGGGGCCCGCACAAGCGGUGGAGCAUGUGGUUUAAUUCGAUGCAACGCGAAGAACCUUACCUACCCUUGACAUCCUGCGAACCCUUCGGAGACGAAGGGGUGCCUUCGGGAACGCAGAGACAGGUGCUGCAUGGCUGUCGUCAGCUCGUGUUGUGAAAUGUUGGGUUAAGUCCCGUAACGAGCGCAACCCUUGUCCCUAUUUGCCAGCGAUUCGGUCGGGAACUCUAGG
rnacentral:rRNA from 1 species